rnacentral:lncRNA from 1 species
UUUACCCCCUUGGCCUGUAGGGGCAAGAGGAGAAAGUGGUUAUGGGACCCAGAGAGAGGGACUGUAUGGAGGGGAUUUCCUGGCAGCAGCUGUGGCUCUCAGCAAGGGAAGCAGCCAGGCUACAGCCACCUGACCAGAAGGGAACCAGGAGAGUAAAUUCCAUGUUGUCAUUCUCUCUGCCUGCCAGUCUCCUGCCAGUGCUUCCCAUUUGGUGGAUCCAACUGAAGUCACAAAACAAAGGAACCUGUUGAUGCAAUCCAUAGAUAGCCAGCCUCCCAAGGACACAGAGCAGGGUGGGGAGUGGACCUGCAUUAGCAAGCAGAGAAUGUCCAGAGCCUAGAGACAGCCAGCCCAUGCAGAGGGUAGGGCAUAAGCCAGGCAGUGGAGAGGGUGAGGAGUGGUGUAUAGAAGAGAGCAUGGAGUUUAAGGGGUUAUUAUGGCUGAGAUCCAGACCAUGAGCAGAGAAAAGUUCAGUUUAUCUCACGGAAAACUUUAAUGUUAGGCUUAAUCCUCUGUUCCUUCCUCCCUACAUUCUUCCCACCUUCCCUUCCUUCUGUCCUUUUCUUCUCUCAAUAAAUAUUUGUUGAAUGCU